rnacentral:rRNA from 1 species
UGGGGAAUAUUGCGCAAUGGGGGAAACCCUGACGCAGCAACGCCGCGUGAAGGAUGAAGGUUUUCGGAUCGUAAACUUCUUUGAUGAGGGACGAACAAAAUGACGGUACCUCAAAAACAAGCCACGGCUAACUACGUGCCAGCAGCCGCGGUAAUACGUAGGUGGCGAGCGUUGUCCGGAAUUACUGGGUGUAAAGGGCGUGUAGGCGGGGAUGUAAGUCAGAUGUGAAAUUCCAUGGCUCAACUGUGGGGCUGCAUCUGAAACUAUGUCUCUUGAGUGCCGGAGAGGGAAGCGGAAUUCCUAGUGUAGCGGUGAAAUGCGUAGAUAUUACUUAGAACACCAAUUGCGAAGGCAGGUUACCAAGAUAUAACUGACGCUGAGGGACGAAAGCGUGGGGAGCGAACA